GCUUGUCUCAAAGAUUAAGCCAUGCAUGUCUAAGUAUAAGCACUUAUACCGUGAAACUGCGAAUGGCUCAUUACAUCAGUUAUAGUUUAUUUGAUAGUCCCCACUACUUGGAUAACCGUAGUAAUUCUAGAGCUAAUACAUGCGUCAAGUCCCUACCGCGCGAGCGGGAAGGAUGUGUUUAUUAGAUACAACCAACCCUUCGGGUCCCUGGUGAAUCAUAAUAACCGAACGAACCGCAUGCUUCGGCGGCGAUAAAUCAUUCAAGUUUCUGACCUAUCAGCUUCCGACGGUAGGGUAUUGGCCUACCGUGGCAAUGACGGGUAACGGAGAAUUAGGGUUCGAUUCCGGAGAGGGAGCCUGAGAAACGGCUACCACAUCCAAGGAAGGCAGCAGG
rnacentral:rRNA from 1 species